rnacentral:lncRNA from 1 species
GUUCUCUUACCCUGCCUUACCUGAAGGGGAUGUAUACAUGCCGGGUUGCUCCCCAGCCAUCUACUCGGGGAUACCCAGCACACUUACAAUGAAAGUACACACAGCCCCCCGCAGCAAAGCACAAACAGGUGUUGCAAACAGCCCCAAUCACACCCCUACUGAGAGCCAGACUAUACGCCAACCCAUUUCUCCACCGGAAGGGUUCACAAGCCCCAGCAAAGUCUGAACCGAAGCAAACGAGAACGCCUCUGAAAGCUUUUCCCCAGCCUGGCGGGACCCAGCACCACGCGCACCCAAGAACUGGAGCUGCCACCCGGUUCCUCACCGCAGCGCGAGCCCCAGCCGGCAGAGCGCUGCCCCGCGCGCUGCGCACCGCCUGGCCCCGGCGCACUCGCGCCCGCAGCCGCUCCGCGAACAGCGCGCAGCACGGGCCCUCCACCAUGGAGCCGCCUCUUCCCUUCAAAUCUCCCGCUCGCUGUGGGGUGGAGCUGCCGGGCUGCCCUGGUGAGCGCCGAGGGAGAACGCGGCUGCGCUAGGGAUGAAUGUCCCGGCGUACCCCUAAAGGGCUCCGAGGGGCGGACCGGGCGCGGCACGUCACCGCGUUGUUUGCACUCGCAGCGCCGCCCCGCUUGGCACGCGGUGUGGUUUGAAUCUGGAGCCGUUUUCACGGCUGGGAGCAAAAGCCGUAUGAACGUUAAGCCAAAGGCUUUGUUCUGCGAGACCCUUCAGACAAAACACGUGUGA